rnacentral:rRNA from 1 species
UGGGGAAUCUUCCGCAAUGGGCGCAAGCCUGACGGAGCAACGCCGCGUGAGUGAAGAAGGUCUUCGGAUCGUAAAGCUCUGUUGAUGGGGACGAACGUGCCUAAUGCGAAUAGUAUUAGGUAAUGACGGUACCCAUCGAGGAAGCCACGGCUAACUACGUGCCAGCAGCCGCGGUAAUACGUAGGUGGCGAGCGUUGUCCGGAAUCAAUGGGCGUAAAGGGAGCGCAGGCGGGCAUGUAAGUCUUUCUUAAAAGUGCGGGGCUCAACCCCGUGAUGGGAAAGAAACUAUGUGUCUUGAGUACAGGAGAGGAAAGCGGAAUUCCCAGUGUAGCGGUGAAAUGCGUAGAUAUUGGGAGGAACACCAGUGGCGAAGGCGGCUUUCUGGACUGCAACUGACGCUGAGGCUCGAAAGCCAGGGGAGCGAACGGG